GCACAAUGGGCGCAAGCCUGAUGCAGCCAUGCCGCGUGUAUUGAAGAAGGCCUUCGGGUUGUAAAGUACUUUCAGCAGUGAGGAAGGUGGGUAUGUUAAUAGCAUACUCAUUUGACGUUUAGCUGCAGAAGAAGCACCGGCUAACUCCGUGCCAGCAGCCGCGGUAAUACGGAGGGUGCGAGCGUUAAUCGGAAUUACUGGGCGUAAAGCGCAUGCAGGUGGUUUGUUAAGUCAGAUGUGAAAGCCCGGGGCUCAACCUCGGAAUUGCAUUUGAAAACUGGCAAACUAGAGUACUGUAGAGGGGGUAGAAUUUCAGGUGUAGCGGUGAAAUGCGUAGAGAUCUGAAGGAAUACCGGUGGCGAAGGCGGCCCCCUGGACAGAUACUGACACUCAGAUGCGAAAGCGUGGGGAGCAAACAGGAUUAGAUACCCUGGUAG
rnacentral:rRNA from 1 species